GUUUAGUUAACGCAAUAGUUUCGGCCAAUCACCGUGUAGCCACAACAAAAAACAUAAGCGCGCCAAUCGGAAGGCCAACUGGGAGCGUCGCUUCUUGUCACUCUUCCGGUCCGCCAUUUUAUUGCGGUUUAGAGGUUGUUUGCGGUGUGCAGGGAUAUUUUUCAAAGUUAUAUGAAUUAAAAUUAAAAUAGAUAUAAGUGACGAACAUUUAAGAGAAUGGUGCCGCAAACCAAAGUGUUCGUCGGCAGCCUGCCGCAGGGCUCCAAACCUGACGAGCUCCGUAAGCUUUUCGAACGGUUUGGCGUCGUGACAGAAUGUGAUAUCAUGAACCGCUGCGGGUUCGUUCACAUGCAAACCGAGGAGCAGGCAACGGCCGCCAUCCGCGGCCUUAACAAUACAUCUUUCAACGGCGGCGUGAUCUCAGUGGAGCGCGGCCGCAUCAAGGAGCGCGGACAGCGCGGCGGCGGCCGAGGCGGGCGCGGAGGCAUGCGUGGCGGCAUGGACCGGCGCGGCGGCGGGCCCAUGCGGGGUGCGCCGGGGCCCGGCCGUGACGCGCCCUACAUGCGGGACGCGCGGCCCAUGGGACACAUGCGGGGCCACAUGGGCGGCGGCAUGGGCGCACGUAACGGCAUGCCGUACGAGCGCGGACCUGAGCGUCCCCCGCCGCCGGCCGCGUCCUAUGACGACCGGUACGGAGGCUACGGCGGCGAGGACCGGCGCGGGUUCGCGCUGAUGGACCGCGGCCCACGAGACCCGUAUGCCGCACCUGCGCCCAUGUACCCUGAUGACAGCAGGUACUCGAACCACAUCUCCGUGGUGGAGGGCAGCCGUCGCGGGUACAGCGCGGGCAUGGGCGAGGAGCUGGCGUACGACGAGCGGCGGCUGUACGACGAGCGCGACGUGCUGGAGCGGCGCUCGCGCGGGCCCGUGCCGCACGCGCCGCACGCCGCGCACGCGCCGCACGCCGGCUACGAGCGCGCGCCGCCGCGCCCGCCGCCCGCGCCGCAGCCCGACAUGUACAGCCGCCGCGAGCCCAUGUACGCGCCGCAAGACAACCUGCGCGGCCCGGCCGGCCCCGCGGGUUACGACAGAGACCCCUAUGCACAACAGUAUCCACCCAUGGGACGCGGGGGCGGAGCGCCGCGCGGUAGGGAGCUGGCCGGAGGCAUGGGCCCGCGCCGCUACUAGCGCCGCCACUGGCGCCAGUACUGUCCACCACUAGCGCCGCGCCGGACCUAGACAUAAGUAGCAUAAGUCGACGUGACACGAACAAAUGUAGCCGUUAGUCGUGCGAACUGCGACGCCGCGCCGCGACGCUCGGCUCCUUCCGUACCGUGUUGUAAUAUUGUAAGUCUCGGAUUGGAUGCAAUUAUGACGAUCACUAUACAUUAAUAAACGAGGACAAAUCAAACGGAACGAUUUCAUUUUGGACCCGAUGGUGUGAUGUGUUGUACGACCAUGAUACUCUAUCCAUGUUGUAUAUCGACAUCCCUAAUUGUUAAGAUCCAUUUUAUUUAAGCUGUAAAUUCAUUUUUUAGAUUAAAUUUAUAAUUUAUAGAUUAUUUUAUCUUUCAUUAACCAUCCCGGCACUAAAUUAUUUUGGAUGCAUGACCUUCUUUGUCCCUGCCAGCUUCUCUCUGCUUCUUCUGUGGUUGCGGUACAUUUGAUGAAAAUAUUGUUUUAUUGCAGGACUUUUCUAUACAGGCCUGACUUAGGGUCGGCUUGUAUUCUCAGAUUUUAUAUUUAUCAAAGAGUAUCUGAAAUACAAUCUGUGAAGGGGUGCGUUCACUGGGCAGUGCGUUUGCUUCAAUAAUGAAGGAAAUAAACGUAAAAUAUUCAAUUUUACGUAUUUCAAGUAUAUAUCAUAUAAUUUAGGGAUGAGGCGUUUAAAACCAUUGGCAGUAAAAAAAUCUUAUGCGGAAUUCCUUUACAAUAAUUGCAUGAGAAUUAAUUAUAAUAUCUUAAAUAGGGUUUCACGGUAAAUCGCGAUCUCAGUAUAACAAGUAAUCAUUACGCAGGUAAAUAAAUAAAAAGGCCCUAUUUACAUGAUUGAGCACGCAUAGACCACGCUGUCUCGCAUGAUAUAUCGUUUAAUCACGAUUAACAGCCGUUUUCAACAGUCGAUCCCAAUCUCAAUCUUUAAUCCUAUUCCGAGAAUGAACCAAUCAAAAUUACUCGUAUUGGUAAACAUGUCAAAAACACUUUGUUCUGAUUGGUUCAUUUUUGGUAUCAUUUAUUGAUAAUGGUGGUAAAUCACGAUAUCGAAUUAUUGGUUGUUAGAUCAGAAGAUUUUAAACCAAAUCUUUUUUUAAUUACUACAUCAUCUCACUGCCAAGUCGGUGUUAGAGAACCUUCGUAUGUUCGAUAAUACGGGCUUCGUUUAAUUUUAUGUGGCCCUUUCGGAUGGAAUAGACGUAAAUAGCGGCUGCAUGUUUAUAAAGAAAAUAAAAAUACAUGCGUACACUCCUAUCGUACGAAUAUUUAUAUUUUAACUCAACAUGGAACGCACCCCAUAAUCACUGGACAGGUAUUUUUUAUUUAUUGGAUAAGAUUGCAGAGUUUGGUGAAAGCAGAUGAUCAGUGCGUCAGAUUACGUCAGCGGUGUCAGGCGACAGGUCUAAGUAUGACCAAAGUUAUGUCACGACUCACGACUCUCGGCGAUACUGGCGUACAGCAAAGGUGAAUGUUAUAUACGAGCGGUGCACGUCCCCACUGCCACGAACAUGCACACUAUACUGAACCAUGGCCUACUUGAUCCAGAAAUAUGAUGAAUUUGAGUGAUUAUAAAACGUAUUGAACUGUGCUCGACCGCAGCGGUCUCGGCUACUCAACUUGUGGCAGACGUGAUGCUCGAUUCGAAACAGAGCCGCAAAAGUACUGGGUUUUGCUCUAUGGAUAUAAAUAUAAUUUUGUAUACAUUUGAUAUGAACACUUACGUUACGAAACACAGUUUCGGAUUGCGUAUUUGUGCAAUGGAGUAUGUGCGGAGCGAGGCUGGCGCACAUCCAGUAGGCGAUUCGGCUUGCUCUAUGCUAAUCUCGGUUCUCGAGUGAACCAGCAGUGCGUGCGAGUACUUACAGUUAUUAGCGGCGCGACGUUCGGGCGGGCGGCGAUGCGUUCUCGGUAUCGGCGAUGUCGCAUACGUUAGGCGGCGGCGGCGAGGGCGCGGCGGCACACACUGUACUACGGACCAAGUUGAUGGACUCGUCUCGUGAUGGGAGGCUCAAGAUAUUAUACAACGCCGGAAGGCGGCUAGUCAGUUCUGAUAAGAAGUCGGAGGAGUUUGUCGUAUGAAUAAAAGCUAUGAUUAAA